rnacentral:rRNA from 1 species
AGUCAGCACGCCGCGGUGAAUACGUUCCCGGGCCUUGUACACACCGCCCGUCACACCACGGAAGUUGGGAGUACCCAAAGUAGGUUGCCUAACCGCAAGGAGGGCGCUUCCUAAGGUAAGACCGAUGACUGGGGUGAAGUCGUAACAAGGUACC